UACGAAGGGGGCUAGCGUCGCUCGGAAUGACUGGGCGUAAAGGGCGCGUAGGCGGAUGGCACAGUCAGAUGUGAAAUUCCCGGGCUUAACCUGGGGGCUGCAUUUGAUACGUGUUGUCUUGAGUUCGGAAGAGGGUCGUGGAAUUCCUGGUGUAGCGGUGAAAUGCGCAGAUAUCAGGAGGAACACCAAUGGCGAAGGCAGCUCGCUGGGACGUGACUGACGCUGAGACGCGAAAGCGUGGGGAGCAAACAGG
rnacentral:rRNA from 1 species